rnacentral:tRNA from 1 species
GCGAGCGUAGCUCAGUGGUAGAGCGUCACGUUUACACCGUGGUUGUCGUAGGUUCGACCCCUUCCGCUCGCACCA